UUUCCUCCUGACAGUUGACAGGUCAAGGUGACUAUAGUUCCAGUGUCGUACUGAAGUCCUGGAGGGGAGGAUGUGAUGACAGGGAACUGUCCAUCUCCAAUGACAAAACAGAGACAGCUUUAGUAGUGUUACUCUGAUUGAUUCCUAUCAAAACUAAGUUUUUACAUCUCCAUGACAACGUGGCUACAGGGUUUCCUCCUGGUAGUUGACAGGUCAAGGUGACUGUAGUCCCGGUGUUAUACUGAAGUCCUGGAGGGGAGGCUGUGAUGACAGGCAGUUUUAUGGUAAUAAGACAGCGAUUAAACGGGUGGCUGGACGAAUAAACCACUCUUGAGUUGGCUCUGUUACACGACAACGUCAUCGUCAUGGUGGAUUGAAAACCUUCGAGGCCCUUUCUGACGACGGUUGAGAAGUCCUACGGGAUGAAAUUUACUAGCGACUGCACAGCAAGCCGUUGUUGCCUUUGUCCUUACUUAAUGAGAUGUGAAGCCAG